CCAGAGAACUUAGCAGAGAUGCUUUGGUGGCCUUCGGGAACUCUGAGACAGGUGCUGCAUGGCUGUCGUCAGCUCGUGUUGUGAAAUGUUGGGUUAAGUCCCGCAACGAGCGCAACCCUUAUCCUUUGUUGCCAGCGGCUCGGCCGGGAACUCAAAGGAGACUGCCGGUGAUAAACCGGAGGAAGGUGGGGAUGACGUCAAGUCAUCAUGGCCCUUACGGCCAGGGCUACACACGUGCUACAAUGGCGCAUACAAAGAGAAGCGACCUCGCGAGAGCAAGCGGACCUCAUAAAGUGCGUCGUAGUCCGGAUUGGAGUCUGCAACUCGACUCCAUGAAGUCGGAAUCGCUAGUAAUCGUAGAUCAGAAUGCUACGGUGAAUACGUUCCCGGGCCUUGUACACACCGCCCGUCACACCAUGGGAGUGGGUUGCAAAAGAAGUAGGUAGCUUAACCUUCGGGAGGGCGCUUACCACUUUGUGAUUCAUGACUGGGGUGAAGUCGUAACAAGGUAAGCGUAGCGAG
rnacentral:rRNA from 1 species